rnacentral:rRNA from 1 species
AUUGAACGCUGGCGGCAGGCUUAACACAUGCAAGUCGAGCGAGCGGCGGACGGGUGAGUAAUGUCUGGGAAACUGCCUGAUGGAGGGGGAUAACUACUGGAAACGGUAGAUAAUACCCCAUACCAUCAGAUGUGCCCAGAGGGGAUUAGCUAGUAGGUGGGGUAAUGGCUCACCUAGGCGACGAUCCCUAGAUGGGCUGAGAGGAUGACCAGCCACGCGGGAAUGGAGAAACGUCCACGACACCAACGGGAGGAAGCAGUGGGGAAUAUGGGACAAUGGGCGCAAGCCUGAUGCAGACAUGCCGCGUGGGUGAAGCAGGCGUUCGGGUUGUAAAGCACUUUCAGCGAGGAGGCGGUACUCGCAGAAGAAGCAACGGCUAACUCCGUGCCAGCAGCCGCGGUAAUUC